CCUACGGGGCGCAGCAGUGGGGAAUAUUGGGCAAUGGGCGCAAGCCUGACCCAGCAACGCCGCGUGAAGGAAGAAGGCUUUCGGGUUGUAAACUUCUUUUCUCAGGGACGAAGAAAGUGACGGUACCUGAGGAAUAAGCCACGGCUAACUACGUGCCAGCAGCCGCGGUAAUACGUAGGAUGCGAGCGUUAUCCGGAUUUAUUGGGUUUAAAGGGUGCGUAGGCGGAAUGCCAAGUCAGCGGUAAAAUCGCGGGGCUCAACCUCGCUCCGCCGUUGAAACUGGCGUUCUUGAGUGGGCGAGAAGG
rnacentral:rRNA from 1 species